GGGGCUGAUUCUGGAUUCGACGGGAUUUGCGAAACCCAAGGUGCAUGCCGAGGGGCGGUUGGCCUCGUAAAAAGCCGCAAAAAAUAGUCGCAAACGAUGAAAACUACGCUUUAGCAGCUUAAUAACCUGCUUAGAGCCCUCUCUCCCUAGCCUCCGCUCUUAGGACGGGGAUCAAGAGAGGUCAAACCCAAAAGAGAUCGCGUGGAAGCCCUGCCUGGGGUUGAAGCGUUAAAACUUAAUCAGGCUAGUUUGUUAGUGGCGUGUCCGUCCGCAGCUGGCAAGCGAAUGUAAAGACUGACUAAGCAUGUAGUACCGAGGACGUAGGAAUUUCGGACGCGGGUUCAACUCCCGCCAGCUCCACCA
rnacentral:tmRNA from 1 species